AGAGUUUGAUCCUGGCUCAGAUUGAACGCUGGCGGUAUGCCUUACACAUGCAAGUCGAACGGUAGAGGAGCAAUCCUCGAGAGUGGCGAACGGGUGAGUAAUACAUCGGAACGUGCCCAGUCGUGGGGGAUAACGUAGCGAAAGCUACGCUAAUACCGCAUACGACCCGAGGGUGAAAGCGGGGGACUCGCAAGAGCCUCGCGCGAUUGGAGCGGCCGAUGGCAGAUUAGGUAGUUGGUGGGGUAAAGGCCCACCAAGCCUGCGAUCUGUAGCUGGUCUGAGAGGACGACCAGCCACACUGGGACUGAGACACGGCCCAGACUCCUACGGGAGGCAGCAGUGGGGAAUUUUGGACAAUGGGCGAAAGCCUGAUCCAGCCAUACCGCGUGCGGGAAGAAGGCCUUCGGGUUGUAAACCGCUUUUGUCAGGGAAGAAAUACUUCGGGCUAAUACCCUGGGGUGAUGACGGUACCUGAAGAAUAAGCACCGGCUAACUACGUGCCAGCAGCCGCGGUAAUACGUAGGGUGCAAGCGUUAAUCGGAAUUACUGGGCGUAAAGCGUGCGCAGGCGGUUCUAUAAGACAGAUGUGAAAUCCCCGGGCUCAACCUGGGAACUGCAUUUGUGACUGUAGAGCUAGAGUACGGUAG
rnacentral:rRNA from 1 species